rnacentral:tRNA from 1 species
GGAUGGUUGUCAGAGCGGUCUAUUGUGCCCGGUUGCUAACCAGGUGGGCGUACAGCCCCGGAGGUUCGAAUCCUUCACCAUCCGCCA